GUCUUUUUGAUAAAUAAUUUAAAGUCUAAUCUGCCCCCUGAAAUUAUUUUAAAGGGCUGCGGUAUCUUAACCGUACAAAGGUAGCAUAAUAAUUAGGUUUUUAAUUGAAAUCUUGAAUGAAUGAUUGGACGAGAUAUGAGCUGUUUUAAAAUAUAAAUUUGAAUUUAAUUUUUUAGUUAAAAAGCUAAAAUAUUUUUAAAAGACGAGAAGACCCUAUAAAUCUUUAUAAUUUAUUUAUUUUAAUUAAUUAUUUUAAUAAAAUUAAUUUAAAUAGAGAAAUUAUUUUAUUGGGGUGAUAUAAAAAUUUUUUAAACUUUUUAUGAUUAUAAUACUAUAAUUAAAGAUUUUUAAAAUAUAUGAUCUAUUAAUAAUAAUUAAAAGAAAAAGAUACUUUAGGGAUAACAGCGUAAUUUUAAUAUUAAGUUCAUAUUAUUAUUAAAGAUUGCGACCUCGAUGUUGGAUUAAAAUUUAAUUUAAAUGCAAAAGUUUAAAAAUUAAGUCUGUUCGACUUUUAAAAUUUU
rnacentral:rRNA from 1 species